rnacentral:rRNA from 1 species
GCGAGUCUGAAUAGGGCGAAUGAGUAUUUGGUCGUAGACCCGAAACCAGGUGAUCUACCCUUGGUCAGGUUGAAGUUCAGGUAACACUGAAUGGAGGACCGAACCGACUUACGUUGAAAAGUGAGCGGAUGAACUGAGGGUAGCGGAGAAAUUCCAAUCGAACUUGGAGAUAGCUGGUUCUCUCCGAAAUAGCUUUAGGGCUAGCCUCAAGUGAUGAUUAUUGGAGGUAGAGCACUGUUUGGACGAGGGGCCCCUCUCGGGUUACCGAAUUCAGACAAACUCCGAAUGCCAAAUAAUUUAACUUGGGAGUCAGAAUGUGGGUGAUAAGGUCCAUAUUCGAAAGGGAAACAGCCCAGACCACCAGCUAAGGUCCCAAAAUAUAUGUUAAGUGGAAAAGGAUGUGGCGUUGCCCAGACAACUAGGAUGUUGGCUUAGAAGCAGCCAUCAUUUAAAGAGUGCGUAAUAGCUCACUAGUCGAGUGACACUGCGCCGAAAAUGUACCGGGGCUAAACAUAUUACCGAAGCUGUGGAUUGUCCUUUGGACAAUGGUAGGAGAGCGUUCUAAGGGCGUUGAAGCAUGAUCGCAAGGACAUGUGGAGCGCUUAGAAGUGAGAAUGCCGGUGUGAGUA